GUCCUGGUGAAUGGUGAUGGGCCAAUCUUACAAGAGACCACAGAAAACUGAUAUAGUAAACAACAGUGCCUGCUGCAGUAUAACGAGGACACCCUGAGCAGAGAGCUCCAAUAGACCCAGGUCCAGUGUCUUGGCAGGGUGAAAUGGCACUGAUAUGGUGUCCUGCAGGAUGCUGUGUCCUGCAAUCCUGUGUGCUGUGCUACAGACGCUUGUGGAGGUCAACCCAAAAUGGGCACAGUCUCACCACAGAAGAGUGAAAGAGGCUCCCAGAAGUGAGACUGAGUGCCUGUUGCAGUAUGACGAGGACGCAGUGACCAGAGACCUUCAGUAGACCCUGCUGGCAUGAUUGGCGUCUGAAGAACAUGAAAUCAACAGCAAUGUUUAUAAUGUUGUACAUACCUGUAUAGUCUGUAUUAAAAGGCAGUACCUGUA